rnacentral:snRNA from 1 species
CUGCUUCAGUAGCACAUAUAAUAAAAUACAGAGAAGAUUAGUAUGGUCCUUGUACAAGAAUGACACUCAGAUUCAUGAAGUGUCCCCUAUUUUA